rnacentral:rRNA from 1 species
AGCGAACGCUGGCGGCGGGCCUAACACAUGCAAGUCGAACGAAGUCUUCGGACUUAGUGGCGGACGGGUGAGUAACACGUGGGAACGUACCUUUUGGUUCGGAACAACUCAGGGAAACUUGAGCUAAUACCGGAUGAGCCCUUAGGGGGAAAGAUUUAUCGCCGAAAGAGCGGCCCGCGUUAGAUUAGCUAGUUGGUGAGGUAAAGGCUCACCAAGGCUACGAUCUAUAGCUGGUCUGAGAGGAUGAUCAGCCACACGGGGACUGAGACACGGCCCAGACUCCUACGGGAGGCAGCAGUGGGGAAUCUUGCGCAAUGGGCGAAAGCCUGACGCAGCCAUGCCGCGUGAAUGAUGAAGGUCUUAGGAUUGUAAAAUUCUUUUACCGGGGACGAUAAUGACGGUACCUGGAGAAAAAGCCCCGGCUAACUUCGUGCCAGCCGCCGCCAUAA